rnacentral:rRNA from 1 species
AUCUACCUAGUAGUAUAGGAUAGCCACUAGAAAUGGUGGGUAAUACUGUAUAAUCCCUGCGGGGGAAAGAUUUAUCGCUACAUGAUGAGCCUAUGUUAGAUUAGCUAGUUGGUGGGGUAAUGGCCUACCAAGGCAGUGAUCUAUAGCUGGUCUGAGAGGAUGAUCAGCCACACUGGAACUGAGACACGGUCCAGACUCCUACGGGAGGCAGCAGUGGGGAAUAUUGGACAAUGGGCGCAAGCCUGAUCCAGCUAUGCCGCGUGAGUGAGGAAGGCCUUAGGGUUGUAAAACUCUUUCAGUAGGGAAGAUAAUGACGGUACC